rnacentral:rRNA from 1 species
AGUCGAGCGGUAGAGAGAAGCUUGCUUCUCUUGAGAGCGGCGGACGGGUGAGUAAUGCCUAGGAAUCUGCCUGGUAGUGGGGGAUAACGCUCGGAAACGGACGCUAAUACCGCAUACGUCCUACGGGAGAAAGCAGGGGACCUUCGGGCCUUGCGCUAUCAGAUGAGCCUAGGUCGGAUUAGCUAGUUGGUGAGGUAAUGGCUCACCAAGGCGACGAUCCGUAACUGGUCUGAGAGGAUGAUCAGUCACACUGGAACUGAGACACGGUCCAGACUCCUACGGGAGGCAGCAGUGGGGAAUAUUGGACAAUGGGCGAAAGCCUGAUCCAGCCAUGCCGCGUGUGUGAAGAAGGUCUUCGGAUUGUAAAGCACUUUAAGUUGGGAGGAAGGGCAUUAACCUAAUACGUUGGUGUCUUGACGUUACCGACAGAAUAAGCACCGGCUAACUCUGUGCCAGCAGCCGCGGUAAUACAGAGGGUGCAAGCGUUAAUCGGAAUUACUGGGCGUAAAGCGCGCGUAGGUGGUUCGUUAAGUUGGAUGUGAAAUCCCCGGGCUCAACCUGGGAACUGCAUUCAAAACUGACGAGCUAGAGUAUGGUAGAGGGUGGUGGAAUUUCCUGUGU